rnacentral:lncRNA from 1 species
GCUCUGUGGAGGUUCAUGCAGACCUUUGUCCUUGCUCCCGAGGGCUCCACUGCCAACAAAUUCUAUGUUCACAAGGACAUCUUCAGACACCAAGAUGAGGUCUUUGGUGGCUUUGUCACAGAGCCUCAAGAGGAAUCUGAGGAAGAAGUAGAGGAACCUGAAGAAAGACAGCAGUCACCAGAGGUGGUUUCUGAUGAUUCCGAAACUUUCUAAGAUCAGACUGUCAGCAAUGACUUGGAGGAACAUUUAGAGGAGCCUGUCGUGGAACCGAACCAGAGCCAGAGCUAGAGCCGGAGUGGGAACCUGUGUCCUACACGCAAGAGGACAAGCCUGAGCUGCAUUGGAAGAAGCUGCUCCUGAGGAUGUGCAGAAGAGCACUUCCCGGGUCCCGGCAGAUGUGGCCUCAGCACAGGAAGACUUGAGGACAUUUUCUUGGGCAUCUGUGACUAGUAAGAACCUUCCUCCCAGUGGGGCUGUUCCAGUGACAGGGACACCACCUCAUAUGGUCAAAGUGCCAGCAUCACAGCCUCAUCCAGAAUCUAAGCCUGACUCUCAGAUCCCACCACAAAGGCCUCAGAGAGAUCAGAGAAUUUGAGAGCAGCGGAUCAAUAUCCCUCCUCAGAGAAGACCCCGGCCAAUUCGUGAGGCUGGUGAACCAGGAGAUGUGGAACCUCGAAGGAUGGUGA